rnacentral:rRNA from 1 species
UACGUAGGGGGCAAGCGUUGUCCGGAAUCAUUGGGCGUAAAGAGCGUGUAGGCGGCCCGAUAAGUCCGCUGUGAAAGUCCAGGGCUCAACCCUGGGCGUGCAGUGGAUACGGGCAGGCUGGAGGCAGGCAGGGGAGAACGGAAUUCCCGGUGUAGCGGUGAAAUGCGCAGAUAUCGGGAGGAACACCGGUGGCGAAGGCGGUUCUCUGGGCCUGUACUGACGCUGAGGAGCGAAAGCGUGGGGAGCGAACAGG